GGCAGAGCAAUCGAUUCGUAAUCGAUAGGUCGCGGGUCCGACUCCCGCCCCCGGCU
rnacentral:tRNA from 1 species